AGAAUGAGAUUGAACCUGGAACAACCUUAGUUGGGAAUCUGGCUUGUACUCGCCAUGGCGAGCAAAUGCUCUCGCCUCGCGAGCACAUCCAGAAUUGAGUGUUUUAGUGCAUUGUGAGACUUGAGUUGCUUGGAUUGGUUAGAAAUGAACUUUAGGUACAUAGUGUGACCUAUUAAAGAUAAUGAUUGUGAAUUGUGAAGCUAUAUUGAAAUGCUAAGUGUUUAUAAUGUGAUUUAUUGAUUGAUUGCAUUACUUGAAUUAUUAUUGAAUGAUCAGGAAGUUGUUGAAAAUGAAUUGAUAUUAAGCUGUUGAUAUGAUCUGAUUAUGCUGCCAUUGUUAUUAAACUAAGUUGCAUGAGUUGUUGUUGAUUAUCAUUUGAUAUUGUUAUAUCCUGAGAUGUUUAUGUGUCGCCUAUGUUGCUGUUGUUGGUUAUGUGAAAUAUUUAUAUGCCUUAUGUGGAAGAUGUUUGAUGUUUAAGUUGUUGAUACUUCAUAAUAAUAUUGUUAUGUUGUGAAUUGCUUGUGCUGUUUCUGUUGCUGUUAUGAACUGCUAAGUUGUUUGUAAUGUGAUUUAAUGAUUAAAUGCAUUACUCGAAAUAUUAUUGAAUGAUCAAGAUGUUGUUGAAAUGAAUUGUUAAAUGAUUAAGAAGUGAAUUAUGGAUUGAAUUAUAC
rnacentral:lncRNA from 1 species